AACCUCCGCAAUGUACGAAAGUGCGACGGGGGGAUCCCAAGUGUUAUGCUUUUUUGUAUAACUUUUCAUUAGUGUAAAAAGCUUUUAGAAUAAGAGCUGGGCAAGACCGGUGCCAGCCGCCGCGGUAACACCGGCAGCUCGAGUGGUAGCUGUUUUUAUUGGGCCUAAAGCGUUCGUAGCCGGUUUGAUAAGUCUUUGGUGAAAGCUUGUAGCUUAACUAUAAGAAUUGCUGGAGAUACUAUCAGACUUGAAGUCGGGAGAGGUUAGAGGUACUACCGGGGUAGGGGUGGAAUCCUAUAAUCCUGGGAGGACCACCUGUGGCGAAGGCGUCUAACUGGAACGAUCUUGACGGUGAGUAACGAAAGCCAGGGCGCGAACCGGAUUAGAUACCCGGGUAGUCCUGGCCGUAAACGAUGCGGACUUGGUGUUGGGGUGGCUUUGAGCUGCUCCAGUGCCGAAGGGAAGCUGUUAAGUCCGCCGCCUGGGAAGUACGGUCGCAAGACUGAAACUUAAAGGAAUU
rnacentral:rRNA from 1 species